rnacentral:rRNA from 1 species
GACGAACGCUGGCGGCGUGCUUAACACAUGCAAGUCGAACGAAGUGGCGAACGGGUGAGUAACGCGUAAUCAACCUGCCCUUCAGAGGGGGACAACAGUUGGAAAGGACUGCUAAGACCGCAUACUGAAGGAGGGGAUUGCGGCGGAUUAGCUAGUUGGAGGGGUAACGGCCCACGAAGGCGAUGAGCAGUAGCCGGUCUGAGAGGGUGGAUGGCCACAUUGGGACUGAGACACGGCCCAGACUUCUACGGUAGGCAGCAGUGGGGAAUCUGCCGCAAUGGACGAAAGUCUGACGGAGCAACGCCGCGUGAGUGAUGACGGCCUUCGGGUUGUAAAGCUCUGUUAAUCGGGACGCGGUACCGGAAUAGAAAGCCACGGCUAACUACGUGCCAGCAGCCGCGGUAAUAC